GGAGGGUGCGAGCGUUGUUCGGAAUCAUUGGGCGUAAAGCGAGUGUAGGCGGCUUGGCAAGUCGGGUGUGAAAGCCCGGGGCCCAACCCCGGAAUUGCACUCGAAACUGCCUCGCUAGAGUCCCGGAGAGGAGAGCGGAAUUCCCGGUGUAGAGGUGAAAUUCGUAGAUAUCGGGAGGAACACCAGCGGCGAAGGCGGCUCUCUGGACGGUGACUGACGCUCAGACGCGAAAGCGUGGGGAGCAAACAGGAUUAGAUACCCUGGUAGUCCACGCCGUAAACGUUGGGUGCUAGGUGUCGCGGGUAUUGACCCCCCUGCGGUGCCGUCGCUAACGCAUUUAGCACCCCGCCUGGGGAGUACGGUCGCAAGGCUA
rnacentral:rRNA from 1 species